rnacentral:rRNA from 2 species
GCGGCGGACGGGUGAGUAACACGUGGGCAACCUGCCCUGCAGACUGGGAUAACUUCGGGAAACCGGAGCUAAUACCGGAUAACACCGAAAACCGCAUGGUUUUCGGUUGAAAGGCGGCUUUUACCUGUCACUGCAGGAUGGGCCCGCGGCGCAUUACCUAGUUGGUGAGGUAACGGCUCACCAAGGCGACGAUGCGUAGCCGACCUGAGAGGGUGACCGGCCACACUGGGACUGAGACACGGCCCAGACUCCUACGGGAGGCAGCAGUAGGGAAUCUUCCGCAAUGGACGAAAGUCUGACGGAGCAACGCCGCGUGAGCGAAGAAGGUCUUCGGAUCGUAAAGCUCUGUUGUCAGGGAAGAACAAGUGCCGUUCGAACAGGGCGGUACCUUGACGGUACCUGACGAGGAAGCCACGGCUAACUACGUGCCAGCAGCCGCGGUAAUAC